GCGGGCAUAGCAUAGUGGUAAUGCUCCAGCCUUCCAAGCUGGUCAGACGGGUUCGAUUCCCGUUGCCCGCU
rnacentral:tRNA from 1 species